rnacentral:rRNA from 1 species
AAUCUUUGACAAUGGGCGCAAGCCUGAUCCAGCCAGGCCGCGUGAGUGAUGAAGGCCCUAGGGCUGCAAAGCUCUUUCACCGGCAAAGAUAAUGACGGAAACCGGAGAAGAAGCCCCGGCUAACUUCGUGCCAGCAGCCGCGGUAAUACGAAGGGGGCUAGCGUUGUCCGGAAUUACUGGGCGUAAAGCGCACGUAGGCGGUCAUUUAAGUCAGGGGUGAAAUCCCGGGGCUCAACCCCGGAACUACCUUUGAUACUGGAUGUCUGGAGUAUGGAAGAGGUGAGUGGAAUUCCGAGUGUAGAGGUGAAAUUCGUAGAUAUUCGGAGGAACACCAGUGGCGAAGGCGGCUCACUGGUCCAUUACUGACGCUGAGGUGCGAAAGCGUGGGGAGCAAACAGG